rnacentral:tRNA from 2 species
GGUGAGAUGUCCGAGUGGCUUAAGGAACGCGUCUGGAAAAUGUGUAUACUAAUUAAACGUAUCGAGGGUUCGAAUCCCUCUCUCACCGCCA